GAGAUAUGCACUAGCACAUGGCUCCUUGCACCAGAACCAAAGGAUCCUGGUACACCUAAAUAUCAAGCUGCUUUGUUAGUUAAGAUUAAAACAAAAGCCUGAAGCCACCAUCUGGUAAAAUAGUUUUGACUUUAUGAUGCUUGAUCUGACGUGACGCCACACCAGUGAACAAGUUCACUACAUCACCUAUCUCCAUG